AACGAACGCUGGCGGCAUGCCUAACACAUGCAAGUCGAACGAGACCUUCGGGUCUUGUGGCGCACGGGUGCGUAACGCGUGGGAACCUGCCCUUAGGUUCGGAAUAACUCCCCGACAGGGGUGCUAAUACCGGAUAAUGUCUUCGGACCAAAGAUUUAUCGCCUUUGGAUGGGCCCGCGUUGGAUUAGCUAGUUGGUAGGGUAAAAGCCUACCAAGGCGACGAUCCAUAGCUGGUCUGAGAGGAUGAUCAGCCACACCGGGACUGAGACACGGCCCAGACUCCUACGGGAGGCAGCAGUGGGGAAUAUUGGACAAUGGGCGAAAGCCUGAUCCAGCAAUGCCGCGUGAGUGAUGAAGGCCUUAGGGUUGUAAAGCUCUUUUACCCGGGAUGAUAAUGACAGUACCGGGAGAAUAAGCUCCGGCUAACUCCGUG
rnacentral:rRNA from 1 species